UCUACACAUGCAACUGGCGACCAACGAGUAGUUAGCUAGUGGUGUAACAAGUAUAGCUAGUACAGUAAUGGCGGCUUCGUUGGGACUGAACCCUGAAUGUGUAUUCAGCUCCGCCUACGCCUACUCCUCCCCUUUCCUGGCCGAUUACUACGCACCGCCGCCCCCCCCCCCCCCCCCCCCCCCCCCGCGCCGUCAUCGACGACAGUGAUUACGCGGCUCAGCUCCACCUCCACGACGAUCACCAGCACCACCCUUUCGAUCAGUUCGAGCACUCGCUGCCGACGCCGACGGCACAGAUCUCCUUCGCCGGAGCCGGGGAUGACGAACAUCGCGGCGAGAAGAAGAUCAAGAUCAGUGCGAGGGUGAGCUCAGGGAGGAUCGGGUUCAGGACGAGGUCAGAGGUGGAAAUCUUGGACGACGGGUUCAAGUGGAGGAAGUACGGGAAGAAGGCGGUGAAGAACAGCCCGAACCCGAGGAACUACUACCGGUGCUCGGCGGAGGGCUGCGGCGUCAAGAAGCGCGUGGAGAGGGACCGCGACGACCCCCGCUACGUCGUCACCACCUACGACGGCGUCCACAACCACGCAACGCCCGGCGCCGCCGCGCAGUACUACUGCUACAGCCCCCCGCGCAGCUCGCCGCCGGCAGCGUAUUCCGCCGCUGGCCUACUGCAAUUCUGAACCAAACCAGCUAAUUCCGUUCUGCUCCUCGUACAGUAGAAACUGGAAAGCUCAAAACUUCUGUUUUUUGCCGAUCGAUGGAUGUCGUCGUCGGUUCGAGUUAUUUUAUACAUGACAUGAUGUAUGUAGGUUAGUAUUGUUCAACUUGCAGCCAGAUUGCUAAUUUAGUCCAAAA